rnacentral:rRNA from 1 species
CGAAGGGGGCUAGCGUUGUUCGGAAUUACUGGGCGUAAAGGGCGCGUAGGCGGCCCGUUUAGUCGGAAGUGAAAGCCCCGGGCUCAACCUGGGAAUUGCUUUCGAUACUGGCGGGCUUGAGUUCCGGAGAGGAUGGUGGAAUUCCCAGUGUAGAGGUGAAAUUCGUAGAUAUUGGGAAGAACACCGGUGGCGAAGGCGGCCAUCUGGACGGACACUGACGCUGAGGCGCGAAAGCGUGGGGAGCAAACAGGAUUAGAUACCCUGGUAGUCCGCGCCGUAAACGAUGAAUGCUAGACGUCGGGGUGCAUGCACUUCGGUGUCGCCGCUAACGCAUUAAGCAUUCCGCCUGGGGAGUACGGCCGCAAGGUUA